rnacentral:rRNA from 1 species
CUAACAUGUAUGCGAGUGUGGUGGGUUAACAUCAAUUUCGGUCGUCAUAAAAUGAUUGGAGGAAUGUAGCUUUGAUCUCGUAUCGAAGUGUUAUAGACUCUGGUAGAUGUGACGAUUGGGAUUGAGGAUUGCAACGGAUACCCCUUCGGGGGCUACCCGUCUGAUCUCUGAAGGUUGCUCCGGUGCCGAAAGCGUGCUUACGGUCAUCGAAAGUGAUUUUCAAAAGGUUAGAACGGGUUAAAUUCGUUAAGGAUGUUGACGUAAUGGCUUUAAACGACCCGUCUUGAAACACGGACCAAGGAGUCUAACAUAUGUGCGAGUGUU